AUGCAGCCCAGCAGGAGAGGUACUCGGCCAGCGUCCGGAACCUGCACUGCCCUCCCCACCGCCCACCCUGCGGGUCACAGACACAGUUGGGUUUGGAAACCACAACAGUGGCUGCUCGGGAGCCAUCAAAGGCUGCGGAGCCGCAGAGACGUCUGUCUGAGCUCUGUUCUAGGCAAGAGCAUGGCAGACGGUGCCACAGGGGUCUGGGAGCAGGAUCAUGGUUGGAUCCAGAAAGGAGGAGGCUGCCCAAUGGUCUGGGUGGCGGCGGGACCUGUGCCAGGGCCAUGGCGGAGGGCCGGCGGGCUGGACACGAGACCAUCCCCACUGGCUGGUCACAAACCAGCCCCCCUCCUUCAGCCCUCCCCUUACUCGUGGCGCAACCGUAAUUACGGAGAACUGAUCACGUGCCGGGCCCCGAGACCAAGAUUUUCACACAGACACGCCUCCGGCCCUUGAACUUAAGGUGAAGUCAUCUCUAAAGAGGGUCUCACGUCGGGCAUGCGUACACGCGAGACAAAAAGAAACUCGGUCGCCCCGGCGGUGCGAGACCUCCCGACUUGACUUUCCCACAAAACGGAGGAAGAGCUGCAGGCCGUCCGAGGAUAGGGGCCGGCAGGUGCACCAGCCGUCCCGGGAGAACACACAAGCCUAGCGGGAGCCUGCAGGCGGCCCGUGAAUGAAGUGGUCUCACCAACUACGGAGGACAGGACCUCCUUGAGAAACGUCUUGCAAAUCCCUAAAAUCCGUCCCCAACAUUUUCCUGUUUUUAAAACACCUCCAGGAAACGAAUUCCUUGACUCAUUUCAUGGAUGUAGAUCUUAAGACAAACUCCAGGCUCUCCUCACGCCCCACGCCCAGCCCAAAACCACAAUGAAACUCAGAGCAGCAAGGACAGGCAGCAAGCUGGGGGGUGAGCGGGAGCGGGGCGAGGGGAGGGCUGGGACACUUCUUGGGGUCACAGAUUAGGAAGCAUUUACCUCCCCGGCUGCUGGAGAAUCCUGGCUGCUGACUAAGGACAGUACAGCCUUAUAAGCAUCUGCGGACACUCGCCCGGAAGAUGCCGCUUCUCUUGUUUCACUGGACAGAAGGCCACUGCAUCCACAAGCGUGGAGAACAGCUUCAAUUCGAGGAAAAUCUUAGCUCUGCUGAUUUAAAAGGCUCUUGCGGUAGGUACUUCAGCCACCGGGGCUCAGACGAGGGGACAGCAAUGCCAGUCUUCUCCCCCGAGGGUGACCCUCCCCACACCUCGGUGCCUGCUGGAGGCCCAGGAUGGUCCUGAAGCUGGUCCAGCACCUCCAUCACUCGUCUGUGCGUGGACACCGGGCAGGGCCCGGGGCUCCCACACCAAGCUCUGAACCGCCUCCUUGAUGUCACUGGGCCGCUGGCCAGCUAAGCCUCCAACGCCAACACCCCCUACAGCACGGCAUGCAACCCGCUGUCUGAUUGUUUUUUUUCC
rnacentral:lncRNA from 1 species